rnacentral:rRNA from 1 species
GAUGAACGCUGGCGGCGUGCCUAAUACAUGCAAGUCGAGCGAACAGACGAGGGGCUUGCUCCUCUGACGUUAGCGGCGGACGGGUGAGUAACACGUGGAUAACCUACCUAUAAGACUGGGAUAACUUCGGGAAACCGGAGCUAAUACCGGAUAAUAUAUUGAACCGCAUGGUUCAAUAGUGAAAGACGGUUUUGCUGUCACUUAUAGAUGGAUCCGCGCCGCAUUAGCUAGUUGGUAAGGUAACGGCUUACCAAGGCAACGAUGCGUAGCCGACCUGAGAGGGUGAGCGGCCACACUGGAACUGAGACACGGCACAGACUCCUACGGGAGGGAGCCGUAGGGAAUCUGGCGCAAUGGGCGGAAGCCUGACGGAGCAACGCCGCGUGAGUGAUGAAGGUCUUCGGAUCGUAAAACUCUGUUAUUAGGGAAGAACAAAUGUGUAAGUAACUAUGCGCGUCUUGACGGUACCUAAUCAGAAAGCCACGGCUAACUACGUG